CUACGGGGCGCUGCAGUGGGGAAUAUUGCACAAUGGGCGCAAGCCUGAUGCAGCAACGCCGCGUGAGGGAUGAAGGCCUUCGGGUUGUAAACCUCUUUUAGCAGGGAAGAAGCGAAAGUGACGGUACCUGCAGAAAAAGCACCGGCUAACUACGUGCCAGCAGCCGCGGUAAUACGUAGGGUGCAAGCGUUGUCCGGAAUUAUUGGGCGUAAAGAGCUCGUAGGCGGUUUGUCACGUCUGCUGUGAAAAUCCAAGGCUCAACCUUGGACUUGCAGUGGGUACGGGCAGGCUAGAGUGCGGUAGGGGAGAUGGGAAUUCCUGGUGUAGCGGUGGAAUGCGCAGAUAUCAGGAGGAACACCAAUGGCGAAGGCACAUCUCUGGGCCGUAACUGAUGCUGAGGAGCGAAAGCGUGGGGAGCGAACAGGAUUAGAUACCCCUGUAGUC
rnacentral:rRNA from 1 species